UACGUAGGGUGCAAGCGUUGUCCGGAAUUAUUGGGCGUAAAGAGCUCGUAGGCGGUCAGUCGCGUCUGCUGUGAAAACUCGGGGCUUAACCCGGGCCUGCAGUGGGUACGGGCUGACUAGAGUGCGGUAGGGGAGACUGGAAUUCCUGGUGGUAGCGGUGAAAUGCGUAGAUAUCGUAAGGAAGACCAGUGGCGAAGGCGGGUCUCUGGACAGUUCCUGCGCUGAGGCACGAAGGCCAGGGGAGCAAACGGG
rnacentral:rRNA from 1 species